rnacentral:rRNA from 1 species
GCCCUUGGAAGGGAUGUAUUUAUUAGAUUAAAAACCAAUGCCCUUCGGGGCUCACUGGUGAUUCAUGAUAACUCCUCGAAUCGCAUGGCCUUGUGCCGGCGAUGGUUCAUUCAAAUUUCUUCCCUAUCAACUUUCGAUGUUUGGGUAUUGGCCAAACAUGGCUGCAACGGGUAACGGAGGGUUAGGGCUCGACCCCGGAGAAGGAGCCUGAGAAACGGCUACUACAUCCAAGGAAGGCAGCAGGCGCGCAAAUUACCCAAUCCCGACACGGGGAGGUAGUGACAAUAAAUACUGAUACAGGGCUCUUUUGGGUCUUGUAAUUGGAAUGAGUACAAUUUAAAUCCCUUAACGAGGAACAAUUGGAGGGCAAGUCUGGUGCCAGCAGCCGCGGUAAUUCCAGCUCCAAUAGCGUAUAUUAAAGUUGUUGUGGUUAAAAAGCUCGUAGUUGAACCUUGGGCCUGGCUGGCCGGUCCGCCUCACCGCGUGUACUGGUCCGGCCGGGCCUUUCCCUCUGUGGAACCCCAUGCCCUUCACUGGGUGUGGCGGGGAACCAGGACUUUUACAAGGGC